CCCACCACCACCACCAGCACAAGCACCCCCACCCCCCCCAGCGGCGCCGUGGGGCUGAGCCUGAGCCCGGGCAGCUCAGUGCUUGGGGUGAGCGCGGGGCUCAUGGCCACCAACCCGCUGGCCACCAUCCAAGCCUUGGCCACUGGUGGGACCCUGCCCCUGCCCAGCCUUGAGCCGGGGGGGCCCCUGGUGUUGGGGGGCAGCGGGGGGGCCCCCAGCGCCCCCCCCAUGGCCCCUCCCCC